rnacentral:rRNA from 2 species
GGGUUGUGAGGUUAAGCGACUAAGCGUACACGGUGGAUGCCCUGGCAGUCAGAGGCGAUGAAGGGCGUGCUAAUCUGCGAUAAGCGCCGGUAAGGUGAUAUGAACCGUUAUAACCGGCGAUACCCGAAUGGGGAAACCCAGUGUGACUCGUCACACUAUCAUUAACUGAAUCCAUAGGUUAAUGAGGCGAACCGGGGGAACUGAAACAUCUAAGUACCCCGAGGAAAAGAAAUCAACCGAGAUUCCCCCAGUAGCGGCGAGCGAACGGGGAGGAGCCCAGAGCCUGAAUCAGCAUGUGUGUUAGUGGAAGCGUCUGGAAAGGCGCGCGAUACAGGGUGACAGCCCCGUACACAAAAGCGCAUGUGCUGUGAGCUCGAUGAGUAGGGCGGGACACGUGGUAUCCUGUCUGAAUAUGGGGGGACCAUCCUCCAAGGCUAAAUACUCCUGACUGACCGAUAGUGAACCAGUACCGUGAGGGAAAGGCGAAAAGAACCCCGGCGAGGGGAGUGAAAAAGAACCUGAAACCGUGUACGUACAAGCAGUGGGAGCCCCACCACCAAAGCAUUUGCUGUACCGCGUUGACGGAGCGAAGCGACGUCAAACCGAUAAAACAGCAGUGUAAAGUGAGCCGCAGGGCGCUUUGCGCGACAGCGCAAAGGCAGGCGGUUUCGCGUAGCGAAAGCGAAUGCUUUGGGGUGGGGUGACUGCGUACCUUUUGUAUAAUGGGUCAGCGACUUAUAUUCUGUAGCAAGGUUAACCGAAUAGGGGAGCCGGAGGGAAACCGAGUCUUAAUUGGGCGUUAAGUUGCAGGGUAUAGACCCGAAACCCGGUGAUCUAGCCAUGGGCAGGUUGAAGGUUGGGUAACACUAACUGGAGGACCGAACCGACUAAUGUUGAAAAAUUAGCGGAUGACCUGUGGCUGGGGGUGAAAGGCCAAUCAAACCGGGAGAUAGCUGGUUCUCCCCGAAAGCUAUUUAGGUAGCGCCUCGUGAAUUCAUCUCCGGGGGUAGAGCACUGUUUCGGCUAGGGGGCCAUCCCGGCUUACCAACCCGAUGCAAACUGCGAAUACCGGAGAAUGUUAUCACGGGAGACACACGGCGGGUGCUAACGUCCGUCGUGAAGAGGGAAACAACCCAGACCGCCAGCUAAGGUCCCAAAGUCAUGGUUAAGUGGGAAACGAUGUGGGAAGGCCCAGACAGCCAGGAUGUUGGCUUAGAAGCAGCCAUCAUUUAAAGAAAGCGUAAUAGCUCACUGGUCGAGUCGGCCUGCGCGGAAGAUGUAACGGGGCUAAACCAUGCACCGAAGCUGCGGCAGCGACACUGUGUGUUGUUGGGUAGGGGAGCGUUCUGUAAGCCUGUGAAGGUGUGUCGUGAGGCAUGCUGGAGGUAUCAGAAGUGCGAAUGCUGACAUAAGUAACGAUAAAGCGGGUGAAAAGCCCGCUCGCCGGAAGACCAAGGGUUCCUGUCCAACGUUAAUCGGGGCAGGGUGAGUCGACCCCUAAGGCGAGGCCGAAAGGCGUAGUCGAUGGGAAACGGGUUAAUAUUCCCGUACUUGGUGUUACUGCGAAGGGGGGACGGAGAAGGCUAUGUUGGCCGGGCGACGGUUGUCCCGGUUUAAGCGUGUAGGUGUGUGUUCCAGGUAAAUCCGGUUCACUUUAACACUGAGGCGUGACGACGAGGCACUACGGUGCUGAAGCAACAAAUGCCCUGCUUCCAGGAAAAGCCUCUAAGCAUCAGGUAACAUCAAAUCGUACCCCAAACCGACACAGGUGGUCAGGUAGAGAAUACCAAGGCGCUUGAGAGAACUCGGGUGAAGGAACUAGGCAAAAUGGUGCCGUAACUUCGGGAGAAGGCACGCUGACACGUAGGUGAAGUGAUUUACUCAUGGAGCUGAAGUCAGUCGAAGAUACCAGCUGGCUGCAACUGUUUAUUAAAAACACAGCACUGUGCAAACACGAAAGUGGACGUAUACGGUGUGACGCCUGCCCGGUGCCGGAAGGUUAAUUGAUGGGGUCAGCGCAAGCGAAGCUCCUGAUCGAAGCCCCGGUAAACGGCGGCCGUAACUAUAACGGUCCUAAGGUAGCGAAAUUCCUUGUCGGGUAAGUUCCGACCUGCACGAAUGGCGUAAUGAUGGCCAGGCUGUCUCCACCCGAGACUCAGUGAAAUUGAACUCGCUGUGAAGAUGCAGUGUACCCGCGGCAAGACGGAAAGACCCCGUGAACCUUUACUAUAGCUUGACACUGAACAUUGAGCCUUGAUGUGUAGGAUAGGUGGGAGGCUUUGAAGUGUGGACGCCAGUCUGCAUGGAGCCGACCUUGAAAUACCACCCUUUAAUGUUUGAUGUUCUAACGUGGACCCGUUACCCGGGUUGCGGACAGUGUCUGGUGGGUAGUUUGACUGGGGCGGUCUCCUCCUAAAGAGUAACGGAGGAGCACGAAGGUUGGCUAAUCCUGGUCGGACAUCAGGAGGUUAGUGCAAUGGCAUAAGCCAGCUUGACUGCGAGCGUGACGGCGCGAGCAGGUGCGAAAGCAGGUCAUAGUGAUCCGGUGGUUCUGAAUGGAAGGGCCAUCGCUCAACGGAUAAAAGGUACUCCGGGGAUAACAGGCUGAUACCGCCCAAGAGUUCAUAUCGACGGCGGUGUUUGGCACCUCGAUGUCGGCUCAUCACAUCCUGGGGCUGAAGUAGGUCCCAAGGGUAUGGCUGUUCGCCAUUUAAAGUGGUACGCGAGCUGGGUUUAGAACGUCGUGAGACAGUUCGGUCCCUAUCUGCCGUGGGCGCUGGAGAACUGAGGGGGGCUGCUCCUAGUACGAGAGGACCGGAGUGGACGCAUCACUGGUGUUCGGGUUGUCAUGCCAAUGGCACUGCCCGGUAGCUAAAUGCGGAAGAGAUAAGUGCUGAAAGCAUCUAAGCACGAAACUUGCCCCGAGAUGAGUUCUCCCUGAGACUUUAGAGUCUCCUGAAGGAACGUUGAAGACGACGACGUUGAUAGGCCGGGUGUGUAAGCGCAGCGAUGCGUUGAGCUAACCGGUACUAAUGAACCGUGAGGCUUAACCUUACAACGCCGAAG